CCCACCAGUCCAAAGUCCCCUAGGAUGACCUUUCUUACCUCCACUUUCAAAGUAGCUGCAAGAACUGCAGACAGGUUGUGACUUUUUCACUGGAUCCAUUCUAGGAGAGGCAUUCACAUGUCAGUGCCUGUAACCCCCUUCCUAAGGAUAUUUUUCCAGUCUAAGAAUGGGUUAGAAACCUACUAUUCCCAACCCUUCCAGCCAUAUCUUUGGAUGCUGACCACAAGAGCAACCAGGUACCAAUUGUGUCUGGAGCUGGACCUUGUAGUCUGAGGAGAUCAGAAACUUCCAGGAAGUCUCUUGGCUCAAUCUGAAUGGUGAGAGAAAUGUGUGGUGAUGUGGAGAUGUGUCUGAGGGAGAUGAAGGCCGUAAAAACAAAAAGGCUUGGGAUCCUGGUCACAUGAAGAUGGUGGGUUCUCCUGGUUAUUCUCCUGCUGGCUUCCUCCUCCCUCUCCUCCUUCUUGAGGUGUCUACAUGGUACUCAGCAGGCCCUUAUAUUGGAGAAAACUGUGACUGUGUUAGUGCUAACCGAAGACUGGAAGGUUCUGGGUUCUCCUUGGAGCAGCCCAGGUGGCUCAGAGGUUUAGCGCCGCCUUCAGUCCAGGGCGUGAUCCUGGAGACUCAGGAUUGAGUCCCACGUCCGGCUCCCUGCAUGGAGCCUGCUUCUCCCUCCACCUCUGUCUCUGUCUCUGUCUCUCUCUCUCUCUCUGUGUCUCUCAUGAAUAAAUAAAUAAAAUCUUAAAAAAAAAAAAGGUUCUCCCAUGUGUAUAUGUACAUAUGUAUUAAAUGUUUAUUGUGGGACUGUUUAUAGUAAUAAUAAAUUGGAAGCAACAUAAAUAUUUACACUGAUACAGGAAAAGCUUAAACAUGAUGCUAUAUGCUGUGU
rnacentral:lncRNA from 1 species